ACACAACCUUCAGUCCAAGAUCACAUCCCAGUUUGCUGAACUGCACCAGAUUCUCACUGAGAAAGAGCAGCGCACACUGGCAGAUAUCCGGGAGGAAGAGAAGAAGAUUAUAAAUACAAUGGAGAAAAGUCUUAGAAAGAUUCAAGACAAUUUAAGUUCCAUUCAGGAGGAACUAUUAAAGUUGCAGCAACAGAUGGAUCAAAAAGACAGUGUGGUGUUUCUGAAGGAGGAAGCUGGUCGCAAGCAAAGGGUUCGUGAUGAAGCCAAACCACUGUCGGCGGUAGAUGUUAACUUGUUGAUUGAAAAAAUUGA